rnacentral:rRNA from 1 species
AAAGCGAAGCCGCGAGGUGGAGCAAACCCAAAAAAGCAGUCUCAGUUCGGAUUGAAGGCUGAAAUUCGCCUUCAUGAAGCCGGAAUUGCUAGUAAUGGCAGGUCAGCAUACUGCCGUGAAUACGUUCCCGGGCCUUGUACACACCGCCCGUCACACCAUGAGAGUUGGGAAUACCCGAAGCCUGUGAGCUAACGUUAAGAGGCAGCAGUCGAAGGUAGAAUCAAUGAUUGGGGUGAAGUCGUAACAAGGUAGC